rnacentral:lncRNA from 1 species
UAUAGCUUUGUGCCUUACCAGCCUGUUCUUUGUCGUCGUGUUUUUGGUAUACGUGUUUGUUUUGGUUUUCCUUCUUUGUCCGUUAAUAAAAGAAGAUGAGUAUACAUUUUCCCGCUGCGUCUUGGUCUAAACCCUACGACACCCGUGACAAUGACAUAACCAUCAGCUCUCUCUCCUAACAAAGGAACACUGGAUUUUAUAGCUUCAGAAGAGGUCGAUAAUUGAAGACAGCUGUAUCUCCUGACGAGAGGGCAGGGUCAGAUCUCCAAUCGUUGAUGGGGCCGACCAAUCAGCUGCUUAGAAUUUCCGGAAGCCAUCCUGAAACACACACAUACAAACAAAACCACAACACAGAAACUGGGGAACUUAACAAUUGGUUUGUUUCAGUGUGUUGUUCCACUCUCUUUACCAUCUGACACUUUGUCCCUGUUGAUCCACAUACCUACCCUGCUUCUGGAGACCCGGGGAGUCUCCUGACCAGAGGGCUUUGACUCCCCAGGAACGUCUUCGCCACUCUGGGUUGACCCAGUCCUAUUGGUCUGAGACCACUGAUGUCUGCUCCCCUAGUAGGAACAAGGAGCUCCAAAGUAGCUCAAACCCCCUCUUGGAUUGGGUCUUGCCUCAUUUGAAUGCCUGGAGCCAAUCGUUCCAGUCUGGUUAUGAUCACUAUUUCAACCCUGGCUACCUAGCCACCCUGUGUCUGGACUCCUGACUCCAGCAGAGCAGGGAGCCCUGAGCAGCCCAACAGCCCCAGGGAGACUCUUAACCAGAGGGCUUGGACUCCCCAGGACAGUCCCCGUUGCUUUUUAACUCCUGAGGAUGAUGUGUUGUACUAGUUAAAUAAAAUGUUACAUGUCAACAACCACCAGGUCCUUCCUGGAGUCCCGGGAUAUUUCCCGAUACUCUGGCUCCACCCACAGCAAGCAUUCUGAGACAGCCACCUGAAAUGUAUGCUCUACUAUUACAGCCCAGGACUUCAGAUGGGCUUUGCCUCUCCAGUUGAGAUCUCUGCAUUCCUUCAAGAGACUGAGAGUUGAGUCUCAGUCCAACAAUAGGAAGAGGUGCCACUGCCUGGGGUGUGAUGCAGAGGACUGGCCUGCCAGCAAGAGAGCCAGGAAUGAAUGUCCAAUUGGCUCUCAUGGGGCCAUGAGGCACAUUAAUAGAACACAAAAUAGGCACCAGAAUAGAGCUGGGCCACAGUACAACAAGACAUUCAUAAUAAAAUAUUGUGACAUUUUUUUCCUUAGAUUUCUUCCUGAGAAAUGCUAUCCAGUACAAUAACUACAACACUUCAAUCCAAUGCAGGAUUAUUUUAAUAAAAAGGUCAAUGUUUUUUCCGAUUAAACUACAAAAUGAUUGUUGGCUAGGCAUGGCUACACAAUACUGUCCAAAUGAUAUAAUAAUUUAUCUUUCUUUUGCCUGAUGAAUAAGCUUUUGAUAUGUGUGUGAAUCAGGAUUGGGGAGUAAAUCAUUUCAUGUAAUCCAGUUACAUGUAAUCUGAUUUAUUUUUUUUUUACCUGUAAUCAAUUACAUUAACACCAACAAAUAUUGUAAUCGUAUUAGAGCUACUUUUCAAAAACUAGAUGAUUAGUACUUUUAAAUUCAGCAAGGAUGUUUGCAUACAAAUACAUUAUAACACCUUUAUGUAUUCUCAAUGACAUUACAUUUAGGAUUUGAAGAAAGG